GGAGGCGUAGACCUAACUGGUAAGGCAGCGGUCUUGAAAACCGCCGGGCGUUAGCCCUUGGGGGUUCGAGUCCCUCCGCCUCCG
rnacentral:tRNA from 1 species